rnacentral:rRNA from 1 species
CUAAGAAUCUUCCGCAAUGGGGGAAACCCUGACGGAGCGACGCCGCGUGGAUGAUGAAGGCCGUAAGGUUGUAAAAUCCUUUUCCUGGUGAAGAAUAAGUGGGGGAGUGGAAAGCCCCCAUGAUGACGUUAACCAGGGAAUAAGCCCCGGCUAAUUACGUGCCAGCAGCCGCGGUAAUACGUAUGGGGCAAGCGUUGUUCGGAGUUAUUGGGCGUAAAGGGCGUGUAGGCGGCCCGGAAAGUCUGGUGUGAAAUCGCAGGGCUUAACUCUGCGCAUGCACUGGAAACUAUCGGGCUUGAGUCCUGGGGGGGUAAGCUGGAAUUCCUGGUGUAGGAGUGAAAUCUGUAGAUAUCAGGAAGAACACCGGUGGCGAAGGCGAGCUUCUACUCAUGGACUGACG